UCUUGAUUAGAUUAGUUUGUUCUUCAUAUUUGGUUGAUUCUUGAUUGCAAUUACUUGUUUGAUUUGAUCAUGAUUUUUAGUGAGUAGUUGUUUUGCUAGGGUUUGGGUAAAACUUAUAUGAUUGAUUGUGAUUAAUUUGGGAAUUAUGCUAAUCAUCCCCUUUGCUCAUACGCUCUCUAUUUUUUUGAAUUUCUGGGUGGGAUGCUUUUUCGGGUGAGUGUUGGGUUUUCGAGGGUGAAUGGAGUGAGUUUCGGUGGUUAUGGUUUUAUUUCGGGGUAGAUACGGUGAUGUUUUGGUGGUUACAGUGGGGAAUCGAGGUGGGUACGGUGGUUUUCAGGUUGGUUUUGGUAUGGGUUUGUGGUUUUGGAUAGCUCUCAUCUGACGAAUGCCGACAUGAUAGGAAGUGAAAAGGAUUCUGUUUCGGGGUUUUUGGGAAUCCCUCGGGAUACAGGUCUUGAACACGACCGGAUGGACGCGGACACCUGUAAAAUAACGAAUAUUCCGUUUGACAGAAUAUUUGCCUCCAAUGAUCAAGUUAGUGACCGAGAACAAAAUAUAUGUAGAGAGACAAAGUAGAGAGAAGUUGGUGCUUUUAGUCCUCUUAGAAUGAUAUGUUUUAAUCCAACCCUCCCAUCAUAAAUAAUUGGGGUAUUUAUAGGGGUGGGAAAGUGUGCCGUCUAGGGUUUGAUAACCUAGGAUGGCGUGCUCUGAUUGGCGGCAUAAUCAAGUGAAGGCACGUGUCCAUAUGGGGCGUCAUUUUGCGGCUUUCUCGGGAUUUGGGCCUCCUGAUGUAAGGAGGCCCUUUUCUCUCAUUUCAGAUUCUCUUUAUGCUUGACAUGUAUCAUCUUCCUAUAGGGACACGUGUUGCCCGUUAAUUAGACCACGUGUCACUAUGGGAUUAGACAACGUGUUGGGGUAUUUUUACCCUAACAUUUGCCCCUCAGAAGGGGUGACUCGUACCAUACAGGCCGCCUCCUCUGAUCUUUUACUCGUCCGGUGUCGUCUGAGUGUUGGGCGGAUGAAGCAUUAUCAUUAAUGGUAGACUGACAUUGCCGUCCGUCCAUCAGAGGGAUUUCUUCUUUGGGCUGUCUGCCUUGUUUAGUCCGCCUGAUUUUACUUAAUGGACUUUGAGUCUUAAAAAUCGGGCGGACGGAUUGUGCCGACUGCUUGAGGGGGACACCUGUCAUCCGUUAUUGGUGGAAUGACGAUUCGAAUUCUGCUAACCUGGCCGUCUAAUUUGACACCCGUUAGUGUGUCUGUACCUUUUCCCGUCUUAUAUAAAGGAGCGGUUUUUUAACCGUUUAGCUUCUAGGUUAACUUUUCGAAAGUUAUCGUUCGAACUUCUGGGCGGGAAAGAUGGUUUUACCAUUUUGCCCUCAUAAAUUUGGUCUAUAAAUAGAAGUUGUUUGACUUCAUUUGGAUAUUUUGGAAACUUGAGUAUUCUAGAUAGAAGUUAGAGCUUUUAGAGAGAGAAAGUGGUUUUCCUCCCAAAUCUUCAAGAGCUUCGCCGUGUUCCUUGAGUUUGCCGGUCAGGUUUUUAAGCUUUCCGGUCAACCUUCAUGAUCUUCAAAGACUUUAAAAGUUUUCUACACGUACAUAGGUAACCACUUGCUCUUCUUUACUUCUUCCAUUUUUUCCUUUUACUUGUUUUAUUUUUAUAAACACGAAUUGGCACAACACUCGGCUUCUUCCGUUUCUCCUCAUGAGGCCGGUCGUUCACUUGGGACUGAGGAGUCUAGAGUGGACGGGGACGAGUCCUCCUCUCUAUGGAGUGGGUCCAUUUCUAGUGCGUACCAACUCACCCUCACCUAUUCUUCUCUAUCCCUGAAGUCGAGCAUGGCACGUAUGAGACAGACGUACGAAAAAGAGGCCGCCAGAAACCCAGACGACAAUAUGGUAGACCCUUUAGUCCCCUACGAUCUGAGUACAUGGACAUGUAGGACACAAAUACAACUACUGUUAGCGGUCGUGAAUGUUCCGUGGUCGAAGUGACCUCUUUUGAAGAGUGCCAAAAUCAGCAAGGCACUUCUUCCACCAUGGAAGCGUCCGGGCGAAAUUCGGAACCACACUUCUCACAAUUCACCAGCUCGAUCUUGAUGCCGUCCGAGCUGCCAACUUCUAAAAGGCAUCCUUCCUCUUCUCAGGCGGACGCUGGGGCGUCCGUCCAAAAUCUUCAACAACCUCCAAUCCAAACUAUUAGGUCGGCCAGGCCUAGAACUAGCAUCCAUAUUGUUGAACCGUCCGACCUGCCCCCUCGUAGCGCUCCUCCUUCUGGAAACCAGGCGGACGUUGGGGGAAGAAAAGAUAAGGGCAAAAGGCCCUUGGUUCCUGAAGGCACCAUUAUUUAGGUGGCCAAGGAUCUAGGGGAGGGAGCUCGGCCAAAGCUGCUGAGCUGGACACGGUGUUGUCCUCUAAAUUUGGGGCCGCUCCUCAAGCUGCUGAAGGAGAGGCAGAGAAUCCGGACGUCGAUCACGAGGCCGAGGAACUAAACACUGAUAAUUUCAAGGACCCGUACGCCUGUACGGUUGGCGACACUGCCUUGACCUUCCUGCACUUAAAGUUUAAGGAGUUUAAAAAGUUCCUCCACUUGGGAGAAGGCUACGAAAUCGUAGCGCCCACUCACUCUUACUCAGUGGCCGCCUGGGAAGCGGAAGAAAUGCUUCAGCGUCUACCGCGCUGCUUUGGAAUUGGGCCUUCGCUUCCCUCUUCAUCCAUUCGUUCAGGAGCUACUGGACGAAUACAACAUUGCUAUCUUCAAGCUGGUGUCGAACAGCUGGUUAAACAUUUUUGGCUAUCUGAUGACGUGCCUUCGGCAAGGCUUCAAGCCGGACGUCCCAGUUUUUUGUGAUAUGCAUUCCAUGUCCGCCUAGAUGUUGGCACGGACGGGUGGUUUAUUCUGAGCACUUAGAAAGAUUAUAUAGUGGUGAUGGAUAGGCUGUCCAAGUGGCGAGACUAGAAGCACCGAUUCUACAGCAAUAAGACAAAGGAUGAAGAGUUUAACUUGCGGAUGAAUCGGUUCAAUGCCGAUCAAAUUCAGCUCGGCCGUGGGCAGCAUAGGCCUAGCAAGCCACCCGUCCACCCUGACUACAUGCACCAGCUAGACUACUUCGGAGUCAGAAAGGUAGUCAGGGAUGGGAAGACAGUGACCACGCCGCUUAAUUGGAUUCCUCUGGCCGUGUGGCUUAGGAACCCAGUUUUAAUGUCGGCCUGUAGCCUGUACUAGAACUACCCUCAAGGUGGAACUUUGUGACUUAGUUGUUCAAAUGUUAUUUGUAACAUAAAACUAUUCUUACAUUUUUUCCUCUUUUUCUCCCCUAGACAUAGCUCUUGGAAUGCUGGAUUCGGAGCAGACGGGGUAGGUUGACAAGUCCAAGCAGGACUUAGUGCAGUACAAACUCCGCCAACAGUAGCACGACCAGGCUAAGGAGGUACUGACAAUCCGUUCUUCUCUCCCUCGCUCUUUUUUUUUUUUUUUUUUUUUUUUUUUUUUUUUUUUUUUUUUGUGCCGAGCUGGUGUUGGAGGAAGAGUCCUCCCCCAUUUGACUCGGAUACAAUUCAACUUGUAUUGAGUCCGAGUUGAUAUGUUAGGAAAAAUAUGCUAUCUGAUUUCACUCGGAUGCUGUCUUUUGUCUAUGAUUGCCAAGUUGAUUGGUUGGGAAGGUGUUCCUUCUCAACUUUACUCAAACACUUGUUCAUUUCAUCUGACUUUAUCCUGUUUCUUUCAGGGGCCACUUUUACUCCUUGGUCGAAGAGAAAGUAGCCUUCUAAGGACAGCUAGUUGUCCAAAGCCAGAAAGACAAUAGUGUCAAGGGCUAAGUCUUUCACUAAAGCGGCCAAGGUCACGCCGCAGACUGCUUUCAAGCAAUCUAAAGAAGAGCCAUCCCUGUUAUCACCUCGUGGGGUCUCCAAGCCCGCGGAUCCGCAAAUUGAGGCGGUUCACGAUGAGUCCGUCUAUGCGAACGAUGGGGGUAAGUCGUCCCCAGCAAAAACGACCGGAAACUCGGCCUUGACUCCGCAUGUCGAGGUAGUAGACAAAUCUGAGUGGUAGAAAGCUGCUUCUCAGUCGGUCGAAGGGCAACGCGGCCGCACACAAGAUGAAUGGGAUGAGCCAAUGCCCCCUUCUUCAUUCAACCUUCCAUCUCCUCCAUCUUUCUCGGACAGUAAGCUGAAUCUUCGUACGACUGUUGACUUUUGUUUUUAAGAACUUGCUUGUUCACUCUAACACUUUUCUUGGUUUUUUGUAGACAUUGCCGAGGAGAUGCACAUGAAGUUACCCGGCCAGUCGCUCACAGGCACUGACUGGAAAGCUUUUAGGGAGGCCAUGCAACAGGCCGUCCCUAAGGAGUAGCGGGACAAAUUCCACGGAAUAAAUGAGGGCUUCCUUAGCCUAAUGAUCAACUGCAGUACCGAGAUCUUCCUCAGGCUCAGUGCCUUCCUAUAUUGGAAGGAUAAGGAGAAUCAGAAGAUUAAGGCGGCCUAGGCCACCAUCAACCAGCUAUAAGACGAGAACACCGGCAACCUGGCCCUACAAAAGAUCCAUUACAAAACGACCCUUAAGGCUCUCUCCGAGAAGUCAGCUCGGCAAAAUGAGGACAUCGUCAAGAUUGGCGAUGCACUACAACGAGAGCAACUAGCCAAGCAGGCGCUUCAGCUAGAGCGGGACGAGGCAGUUGCAAAUGCCUCUCAGUGGAAGGAGGGCUUUGAAGCCUCCGAGAAACUGAAGAAUGAGUUGACCUCGUCCCAAGAAGCUCUUCAGACGACCCUGGAUCAAGUAGACUCCCUCAAACUUGAGGUUUUGCGCUAGAACAAGUAUAUUAUGGACUUGUCCGAGCAGUUGAAGGCCCCUUGGCCGAUAGAUCCAUGGAGGUCAUCCGUGUAGAGCAUAGGGCCGAGGAAAAGCUAAAGAGCCGCUUCUACAAGGCCUUCUCCGUGAUGGUCGAGGAGGGCACGACAACCUACUAUGAGGAGCGCUUCACUAAGCGUCUCAACUACGUCUGCCUUAAGGAGGAGGCGGAGGCUGUCAGGCAAUCCCCUCCUAUUCUUGAUGAGACUUCCUCUGACUCUGAAGUCGAAGAAGAUGAUGAUGAGGAGGAGUAAGAGUCGACUGGUGAGGAGGAGCCGGCCGAAGAGAAGCCCGCUGACGCUGCAUCCGGCGAUGGGAAGCCGGUCGAGGAGGAGCUUGCCAAUGAUGAUAAGCCGGCUGAGUGAAGAGCUCAGGUCUUCUAGCAACUAUUUUGAAGCUUUCUGAAAUUCAAUUUUAUUUUCUUGUUUUUGAAUAAUCUUAUUUCUAGCCGCCUGUUUUGAGCGGUCUUGUAAUAUACUCUCUUUUUAUUUUUGCCGUCUGUUUUGAACGGCUUUAAUUUAUGAAAUUUUCUUCUUUCAUUCAUACUUUGCAUUUUUUGAGCAAUUUUUCAUGCCUUAUAUUUCUGCUUUUGCGUACGAAUGCUUUUACUGGGGGUAUGCCCUUUUAUUUGGCUUUUGCCUAUUCCAUACUCAAGAAGGUUUGAUUAACUUAGUAGAUUUUAUACCUUAAAGUGUAUGACGACUAGUAAGUUAAUCUAAUCAUAAUAAUGAUUGCGUUGGGACUAGUUGAAUGUCGAAUCAAUUUCAGUUAGUAGGCCGCUUUAUUAGCUUGUACCGAGCUCCCCUUUGAUACUAUCCCUCGGAUGCACUCAUGAAAUUUCAAGUAUUAUCUCAACUUGAUUAUUUCUAAGUAUUUAUUGGGCUCGGACGCCUAGGUGUGCCCUGGCCUUUUGGGUAAAAAUACCUUAGGCAAUUUUCGGGUUACCGUAUGUUUCAUCCGUUCAACCGUUUUAGGACCGGACGGAGUGAUUAGCCAUUUUGACUUUUAUGGCCGAGUUGCCUAACUGCGGGAUGCCCUUGCUAGGCAUUUUACUCGGCCAUCUGAUCAUGCCCCUUUAGUGGCCGGGCUACUGUAUUGCAAGCAGCUUCGAUUCUCUUUUUGGGCGGCAUUACUUAUUCAGCUCUGCCUUUCUCAGGGGCUGAGCUGCUAAGUUGCAAGCCACCUUUGUAAUUAUUUUUAGCCGGCAUUUCUGCUUAACAAUAAGUAAACGUACAAAGUAAAUGGCAAAAAUAACAAUGUUUAACUUUUUCAUUAAUAUUGUCAAAAUUACAUUGUUUUUGGCCGUAUGACGCUAAUUACAUUACUCGGCCAUUUAGGCCUAGUUGUAUAUACAACUUUUGGCUAAGUACAAAAAUUUAUACAUAAUAUUUUUUCAGAUUGUCCAUAUUCCACGUACGAGGAAUAGGAUGGCCAUCCAAGGCUUCGAGACGGUAUGUACCAUCUAGGACUUCUUCUUUGAUCCGGUAUGGCCCUUCCCAGUUCGGUGUUUAUUUGCCAUCCUCAUUUGCCCAGCCUAUCGCUUCUAUCUUUCUUAAGACCAAGUCUCCAAUCUUAAGUGGCCGCUUAAACACUUUACGAUUGUUGGGUUUCGAACAAGAUGCAUAUUAAUUAAUUAACAAUUAAUUGAAAGGAAUGGUGUCCUUCGAACAAGAUUAUUAUUCCGAUAGAAGGAUCAGAAUUAUUAGAAAGCUAAUUAUUCAAUGAGGUGAAGUGAUCGCAAUGCCUAGCUGGAGGCCGCUUCCGAUCAGUGAUAUUAAUGCCUAAUUAAUAUUACAACUUAAUCUUGACUGAACCCUUCGGGUCGCACCCAAUCAAGUAACCGAACCGAAACUACAAAUUAAUCCGAAGUAUUAAAUGAGUCAUUUGAGUAUUAUGAACAUAAACGUCGGAUUCUGAGCAUAGAGCGUCAGAAACCGAGCAUCGUAAGUCGAGUUGAAUUCAGGAAUCGACGAGAAGAGAAAUCAAGCAAAAUACAAGUCAUCGCACGAGAAAAUCCUGGCCUCGAAGUGGACUAGCCAAUCGAGGGCUAGGAUGGCUAGCAUGGCUAGUCAGAACCAUUGCCACAAGCUCAGCAUGCCUAGCAUGGCCGAGCCAGCCAUGCGUGCAAGGAAAGGCCUGCCAAGGGCCAACCGCACAUGCUAGGCAUGGUAGCAGCCAGCCCGAACCAUUGCAAGCAAGGCUAGCAGCACAUGCUAGCUGAGCCUUGUGUGCGAGGUGGUAGCAUGCUGGGUUGCGCCUAGCACAAGCAUCGCAUCAGCAGCAGCAGCACGCUAUACGUGCGUGUGCUGGGGCUGUGCGUGCUUGCGUGCUGGGCUGCACCUAACACUAGCAUUACAAGAAAAGUGACUUUUACCCACAUAAAUUUACCAACAAAUAAUAUAUAUGUUGGUAAUAAUUAGAAUUACCAAUAGAUAUAUUGUCAAUUGGUUUUAAUCAGUGAGUCCUCGUACCAUACAAUCAUAAGCCAACAAAAAAAAUUUAGUCUUUGGUUAAAUAAUUUAAUACCAAUAAAAUUUUCACCAUCUCUUAUUUCUAUUGGACUAAGUUUACGGUACCCGCUCUUUUUUUCACUUUUCCCUUUUCAGCGAAAUUUCCAAAAGACCAAAACAAAAUUUGUACUAUUAUGCAAGUACUAAAGUUUGAAUUUAAUAUUGUUAUCAAAAGUAAAAAAGCAAUCUAGAACUAUCUAUCAUCUUAUUCAUCUAUAUGCAACUCUAGCAAUUUUUUUUAAUCAUCUUCUAUUUCUAAGAUAACCUCUUCCAUGUAAAUAAUCCCUUUGAGGAAUGUGAAGCACCACCAUUUUUAUAUGGAGAAAUUGAUGAAAUUUUUUUGAACCCUCAGCAAUUGCAAUAUGUAAUCGAAGCUCACAACCGCAAAUUUCCCAUUUCAAUUUGUUACUUCCCAACGAUAAAUCUAUUGUAAGUUUUGUUAAGUAAUAAUAUUCAUUGUACAUGAAAUUAUUGUCUAUUUUGAAAAGCCAUUUUUGUAGGGAAAUUCUUAUUAGUUAUGAGACGUAUAUGUGGUUUAUUUUCAAGGAAAAAUGAUUUGGGGUAUUAUAUUUUAGAGUAUAAGGGUUAGAAAAGUGUAUUUAAUAGACUAAUUAUUCACUGAAAUCAAGUCUAGUAGUAUGUUUUCUCCAUUUUCUUUCGGAAAUUAUAAUAAUUUAGUUUAGUAUCCUGGAAUUUCUUCAUUUGUAUAGAAAAAUUUAUUUGCAAAAAAAUCAAAAAUUAACAUUAUGAAAGGGUGUUGGGUUGUAUAUCACAAAUUGCUUUUAGAUAUUUCGCUAAUUAUUUGUAUGUGCUUUUUAUUGCCUGAUUAUUUUAUAGAUAAUUUUGUUGUUGAUGUUAUUUGUAUAUAUGUGUGAUUGAAUUGUGUGACCUAGGGUUGAGAUAUGGGUGGUUGGUUAUGGGUUAAGAAGUAAGGGGAUGUACAAGGGGGUUUAGGUGAUGUGACUAUGGCUAUCAGAGAGGGAAUGAGAGGUGUGUGUUUGGUGGGAAGCUAGUGAGGUGGGGUUGUGUGGUGAGAUGAGAGGCUUGCACUUUGAUGCUUCGGUAAAAGGUAAGACCGAAUCCCAUAAGUAGAGCAAGAGGUGUGUUGUGUUUAGACCUGUUUGGGGUCUUACUGGUGAGGAGUCUGUUAGAAUCCUUGUGUGUAAGUGAAGGGGCUGUAGUUGUGAGGGCAUUAAAGUUGUGUGGAAUGCUGGGCAUAAGGAGAGGAGUUGACUAUUUCUCUAGAUUCACUUUAUCGUGACUCAACAGUGAAGGUGAGGGAGUGUGUUGAUGAGUGGGAGUUGGAGGAGUGUAGUAGCUUUGCUAUGUGCCAAUUCAUUUUCUGUGUAUCAUAGUCUAGCUUUUUAGUUAUCAAAAAGACUUUGAUAUUUACAUAUUUCUUUUUAUACAACUUUGAACAUACUUAUAUAAAAAGAGCUAGAAAGAAAACAGGUACCAAUUUAUAAAAAAAAUCUGAACGUAUGUAAUAAGAAAAGACUAAUAAUUUACCAAAAAAAAAAAAA